rnacentral:rRNA from 1 species
GAUGAACGCUGGCGGCGUGCCUAAUACAUGCAAGUCGAGCGAACAGACGAGGAGCUUGCUCCUCUUACGUUAGCGGCGGACGGGUGAGUAACACGUGGAUAACCUACCUAUAAGACUGGGAUAACUUCGGGAAACCGGAGCUAAUACCGGAUAAUAUAUUGAACCGCAUGGUUCAAUAGUGAAAGACGGUUUUGCUGUCACUUAUAGAUGGAUCCGCGCCGCAUUAGCUAGUUGGUAAGGUAACGGCUUACCAAGGCAACGAUGCGUAGCCGACCUGAGAGGGUGAUCGGCCACACUGGAACUGAGACACGGUCCAGACUCCUACGGGAGGCAGCAGUAGGGAAUCUUGCGCAAUGGGCGAAAGCCUGACGGAGCAACGCCGCGUGAGUGAUGAAGGUCUUCGGAUCGUAAAACUCUGUUAUUAGGGAAGAACAAAUGUGUAAGUAACUAUGCACGUCUUGACGGUACCUAAUCAGAAAGCCACGGCUAACUACGUG